CUACGGGACGCUCCAGUGAGGAAUAUUGGACAAUGGAGGCAACUCUGAUCCAGCCAUGCCGCGAGCAGGAAGACGGCCCUAUGGGUUGUAAACUGCUUUUAUACAGGAAGAAUGGUACCUACGUGUAGGUAUUUGACGGUACUGUACGAAUAAGGAUCGGCUAACUCCGGCCAGCAGCCGCGGUAAUACGGAGGAUCUAAGCGUUAUCCGGAAUCAUUGGGUUUAAAGGGUUCGUAGGCGGUUUUUUAAGUCAGAGGUGAAAUCCUGCAGCUCAACUGUAGCAUUGCCUUUGAUACUGAAAGACUUGAGUUAUUGUGAAGUAGUUAGAAUGUGUAGUGUAGCGGUGAAAUGCAUAGAUAUUACACAGAAUACCGAUUGCGAAAGCAGAUUACUAAUAAUAUACUGACGCUCAGGGACGAAAGCGUGGGUAGCGAACAGGAUUAGAUACCCGAGUAGUC
rnacentral:rRNA from 1 species